ACGGGUGAGUAAUACAUCGGAACGUAUCCUGGGGUGGGGGAUAGCCCGGCGAAAGCCGGAUUAAUACCGCAUACGCUCUGAGGAGGAAAGCGGGGGACCUUCGGGCCUCGCGCUCAAGGGGCGGCCGAUGGCGGAUUAGGUAGUUGGUGGGGUAAAGGCCUACCAAGCCGACGAUCCGUAGCUGGUCUGAGAGGACGACCAGCCACACUGGGACUGAGACACGGCCCAGACUCCUACGGGAGGCAGCAGUGGGGAAUUUUGGACAAUGGGGGCAACCCUGAUCCAGCAAUGCCGCGUGUGUGAAGAAGGCCUUCGGGUUGUAAAGCACUUUUGUCCGGAAAGAAAUCAUCGGGGCCAAUACCCCUGGUGGAUGACGGUACCGGAAGAAUAAGCACCGGCUAACUACGUGCCAGCAGCCGCGGUAAUACGUAGGGUGCGAGCGUUAAUCGGAAUUACUGGGCGUAAAGCGUGCGCAGGCGGUGCUGUAAGACCGAUGUGAAAUCCCCGGGCUUAACCUGGGAACUGCAUUGGUGACUGCAGCGCUGGAGUAUGGCAGAGGGGGGUGGAAUUCCACGU
rnacentral:rRNA from 1 species